UGAAAUCGUUGAAGUGGAACCGGAGAGAGUUGACGUAGUAUGGUGGAUAAGUAUUGCAAGAAUCGCUUCAAACAAUGAAUGUGAUCGAGUAAUAUGUACGUCACCAAAGACUGCGCUGACAGCAUCGACUACACGCUCUGAACUGUGUUGACAUGUUGCCUAUUCUAGUAUAUAGAAUGGUGUCUUGUGUUACGUGGUGAAGUUUGUUGUUAUGUUGUUGAUGUUGAUAAUUAUGAUUAUACACCAAGUAUAAUUAUGUCAGUGUAAAAGUCAACCACCUCUCCGACCCGUCUUGAAACACGGACCGAGGAGUGUAACUUGUACGCGAGUCAUUGGGUGGAAAAACCUUAAGGCGAAACGAAAGUGAAGGCACGGUUAACCGGCUGACAUGGGAAACGUGCGGUAUUGUUAGCGAGACGUUACACCAUGGCCCUGUCUUGUCUGCAUGCAGAUGGGCAGCGGUAGAGCGUACAGGUUGCGACCCGAAAGAUGGUGAACUAUGCCUGAGCAGGACGAAGUCAGAGGAAACUCUGGUGGAAGUCCGUAUCGGUUCUGACGUGCAAAUCGAUCGAUAGACU
rnacentral:rRNA from 1 species